rnacentral:misc_RNA from 1 species
GCUUGUUUAUUUUAACCUAAAAAGAGAGAACAUCGAUAUUCUGACAGUAUUUUCAUUAUCUUUUAUUUUUUAUUGUAGUAUUGAAUUGGUGAUUGAUAGAUUGAUACCUCAAACUUCUCUAUUUACUUGUUACACGCAGUCCUUGGACUAAAUCUUUUCAUCUUUCAAGUGAUUUUCAGUAGCCUAGCUGAUUUAUAGCACAAAAUGGAUAAUCAGGUUGAUAUUGACAAUCUAUGUGAAGGAAUGAAAGAAAUGUUUAUAAAUCAUGCACUUGGUCGACAAUUUAAAAAUACUUUGGACGUUGAUGAAGUAAGUAAUAAUUCAAAUUUAGCUAUGAAGGUGCAAAGUUUUAUUGAUUCUUCAUUAACAAAUAACAUAAACAACGAAUUGCAAAGUUUAAGAGAAGUCGAUCCUAAUAAUUGGCAAAUGUAUGCCAGUAGAAUAGCCAGAUCUAUUUUGGAAUCUUCUCAAAUGUCUUGUACUCAAGAGAAUUUAAAUAAUAUGCUUGAGACAUGUACCCAAGAAUUAAUCACUAGAUUUUCACAUCAUUUUGAAAACUUUGAUUUUUCAAGUAAUGCAAACCAACCAAAUUUGCUGCCUAUCGAUACUGGAAAGGACGCAACAAAAUGUUUAUCUGAACAAGCUGAAUUGAAUUCGCUUCUACGACCUCACAAUUUUGCUGAAUUGGCUCAAAAUAUGUCGUUAAAGAAACCGCUGUAUGUAAGGGUGCAAUCACUUAACAUGCUACUUUCAUCACAGAUACCAGAUGCAAUAUCGAGUGCUCACUGGGAAAACAUUCAAAAAUGUCUGCAGAUUGCUCUGUGCGAUGAGAGUUUUGAAGUUUUCCAACUUGGCCUGCAAAUGCAUGCAAAACUUGUACAAAGUAGCAUUCCUGAAGCUACUAAGGAGAGUUUUCUAAAUAUUCUUGAGAGCUUGUGUCAACACCACCACCUUCGAAAGUCAGACUUUCAAGAAAUUCUAUUCCAAGUCCCAUCUCACUUUCGGAUGAUUAGAAUGUGCUCUCUACUACUAAUUAUCAUCAAAGACCUAACUCUUAAUUUGCCUCGAUUUGGAGAAAAACGACUCAUGGAUAUGAUAGAGAACUUUGUGCAUUUGCUGACAAUUCAGGGGAAUAAUACCUCAAAUGUAUCACCGUACAAUAUACUUGCCUGUUUGGAUCCUGAUGCAAACUGGAUUGACAGCUUUAUUCAAUCAGCGUCUAGUCGUAGACUACUGUUAGGAAAAUUGUCAGAAAACAAUUCUUUCAUUUCUAUUUCAGUACAGGACACAAUGGAAUGGCUGAAAAAUCCUUUCCUUCCAACUGAAGAAAGUGGAUUGCUCAAUGAUUUCUUUCAAGGAAAAAUCACAAAAAAUGUUGUACGAUUUUCUAACUUUCUACACGGAUUAUCACUGAUUUCAAAAAUAUGCUCGUUUGAAAGUGGUGUUACAAUGUUUCCAGUAGUUUUGAACAAGUCCGAAACUGUACGUUUACAAGACAUAACUCAGAUGAUAUUACAUUUUUUGAAUGAGCAACAAUCGAUCGAAGAAAGAAUGGAAGUUGUAUUCUCGGACUCGCUAACCAAACUUCUGGCUUCUGCAGCUUUGAGCUUGAUGAGGAUAAAAGAAAAUCAAAAUUGUCAACUUUUACAAAUUCUUCUCGAACCACUUGCUAGGAACCCCAUUUCUCCAUUGCAUCAUACAGUAUUGUUACUAGAUAUGCUGGCCAAACUACCAGAGGGCCCCCAAAAUUGUUUCUUCAGGUACAGUGCACACAAUCGUAAGAAGAUUAUUAUUGUCCCGCCGCCAUCCUCGGAACUUAAUCAGAAAAGAUCCAUCUCGAAAGAAGUGAAAGCAAUGCAUGAACGACAAAAUUCAUCCAAUUCCUCGUUUUGUCCUACGAAAAUAUUCAUCAACUGCAUAAUAAAACUACUAAAUAAUAGAGAUCUAAGGAACAUGGCGUUGACGGCCAAAUUGCUUGAUGUUGGAGCGAAUAUAUUUUGCCUUCAUGAGGGAAUUGCAAUACUUGAGUUGAACAGGAAUCAGCUGUUGAGUGUGGCCCUGAGUGUCCAUGAAGAAUUAACUGAAUUGAGUCGAACGCAAGGUGGUGACAACAUACUUGUAGAACGCAAUUGCUAUCUCCUCUACAGUUCUUUGCAGAACUUCAUAGUGAAAGUGGGCACGACUCCUCUGGGCUUUUCGCUGCUAAUGCGUGCGAGUCCGACAUCGUUAGCAGGUUGUCUGCUACACAGACUGGAGCAGCCUGACACACCGUGGCUGCAGCCUGAUUGGCGCAUCUUCGUCACGUUUGCUGCCGCCACCCGAAAUGGCGGCCAAGUGAUUGGCCAGCGAGCAGCGGCACUGGCCAAGAGCCAACUGCUUGACUUGUGGGCCGCCCUGGAGCUCGAAACUGACUCGACCAUUGAUAUCGACGAGUGCAGACAACACCUGCUCACUGUCAUGGCAACCUGUGGCUCCAGCUUACAAGGAACUACUUCUCGCGCAACAAAAGUUGAACCGUGUCGACGAGAGCUCAGACACUGUGAUAGUAGACGAAUGCAGCCUGCUUAGACACGAGAUACUGGAGAGGUCACAUGUUGCCGGACGGCCGGGCGUGGAUGGCAAACUCUAUUUUGCGUUUCCGUCGUUGUCGACUGCAUCGGCUGAGCGACGCCAGCGCCCCCGCACUGCCAAACAUGGCGGCGGCGGUGAGUUGAGUCGCUUCCUCCAGGAGACCAGGAGUGGACUGCAUGACACCGCUUGGCUUAAACAGGCCAGGAAGGCUUACAGGGCGGGCUGUGCGGCUGGUGACGAAAUCAAGUGUGGCCUGUUUGUGGAUUUGGUGUCUCUCGUACCAAAAGCUGUGGUAGGUGAUAGGCCUACUAUUGACAGCCUCAAAUGGCCAACUAUAGAUCAGGUUGAAACAGUCAAUCUCCUGCCAGAGGAAGAAAUUGGUGUCCAGAUGGCUGUCAGGUAUGGAUUACACCAUAGAGCUUUGCAACCGUCUCAACAUAAUGCCGAAAAUCUUAUGUUGAUGCUUCGUAUGGUUAAACUUAUGUUUGGUAGAGAUGAACAAGAAACUUUCACUGGGUUCGAUUGGUUUCUAUCAACCAUUUUUCUCAUCAGUGGUGGAAAUGUUGAAAGAUGCCAAAAUAUUUUGUCCGUUCUGGUGACGCUGUCAUGCAUAAUAUUUAUCUGGCCAAGCUAUGCACAAUUCCAAGGUCACAGCACAGAUGCGUUCGGUCAUCUCCUGGAAUCGAUGGUUGCUCAUGAAGUGCCAUUUGCUUUCAAUGCACUUCGA